rnacentral:rRNA from 1 species
CCUACGGGGGGCAGCAGUGGGGAAUAUUGGGCAAUGGGCGCAAGCCUGACCCAGCAACGCCGCGUGAAGGAAGAAGGCUUUCGGGUUGUAAACUUCUUUUCUCAGGGACGAAGCAAGUGACGGUACCUGAGGAAUAAGCCACGGCUAACUACGUGCCAGCAGCCGCGGUAAUACGUAGGUGGCAAGCGUCAUCCGGAUUUACUGGGUGUAAAGGGCGUGUAGGCGGGAAAGCAAGUCAGAUGUGAAAACCAUGGGCUCAACCUGUGGCCUGCAUUUGAAACUGUUUUUCUUGAGUACUGGAGAGGCAGACGGAAUUCCUAGUGUAGCGGUGAAAUGCGUAGAGAUUAGGAGGAACACCAGUGGCGAAGGCGGUCUGCUGGACAGCAACUGACGCUGAGGCGCGAAAGCGUGGGGAGCAAACAGGAUUAGAUACCCGUGUAGUC